rnacentral:rRNA from 1 species
UACGGGGGGGGCAAGCGUUGUUCGGAAUUACUGGGCGUAAAGGGUGCGUAGGCGGUUCGCUAAGUUGGAUGUGAAAACUCUGGGCUCAACCCAGAGCCUGCAUCCAAAACUGACGAGCUCGAGUUCUGGAGGGGGUAGCGGAAUUCCUGGUGUAGCGGUGAAAUGCGUAGAUAUCAGGAGGAACACCGGUGGCGAAGGCGACUCUUUGGCCUGUAACUGACGCUGAGGCGCGAAAGCGUGGGGAGCAAACAGG